rnacentral:rRNA from 1 species
AGCGAACGCUGGCGGCAGGCCUAACACAUGCAAGUCGAACGAACCUUUCGGGGUUAGUGGCGGACGGGUGAGUAACACGUGGGAACGUGCCUUUAGGUUCGGAAUAACUCAGGUAAACUUGUGCUAAUACCGAAUGUGCCCUUCGGGGGAAAGAUUUAUCGCCUUUAGAGCGGCCCGCGUCUGAUUAGCUAGUUGGUUGAGGUAAUGGCUCACCAAAGCGACGAGCAGUAGCUGGUCUGAGAGGAUGCUCAGUCACAUUGGGGCUGAGACACGGCCCAAACUGCUACGGAAGGCAGCAGAGGGGAAUCUUGCGCGAUGGGCGAAAGCCUGACGCAGCCAUGCCGCGUGAAUGAUGCAGGUCUUAGGAUUGUAAAAUUCUUUCACCGGGGACGAUAAUGACGGUACCCGGAGAAGAAGCCCCGGCUAACUUCGUG